rnacentral:rRNA from 1 species
AUUGAACGCUGGCGGCAUGCUUUACACAUGCAAGUCGAACGGUAACAGGCCGCAAGGUGCUGACGAGUGGCGAACGGGUGAGUAAUGCAUCGGAACGUGCCCAGUCGUGGGGGAUAACUGCUCGAAAGAGCAGCUAAUACCGCAUACGAUCUAUGGAUGAAAGCGGGGGACCGUAAGGCCUCGCGCGAUUGGAGCGGCCGAUGUCUGAUUAGGUAGUUGGUGGGGUAAAGGCUCACCAAGCCAGCGACCCGUAGCUGGUCUGAGAGGACGACCAGCCACACUGGGACUGAGACACGGCCCAGACUCCUACGGGAGGCAGCAGUGGGGAAUUUUGGACAAUGGGGGCAACCCUGAUCCAGCAAUGCCGCGUGCAGGAAGAAGGCCUUCGGGUUGUAAACUGCUUUUGUACGGAACGAAACGGUCUGGGUUAAUACCCUGGGCUAAUGACGGUACCGUAAGAAUAAGCACCGGCUAACUACGUGCCAGCCGCCGCCGUAAGAC